rnacentral:rRNA from 1 species
UGGGGAAUUUUGGACAAUGGGCGAAAGCCUGAUCCAGCAAUGCCGCGUGUGUGAAGAAGGCCUUCGGGUUGUAAAGCACUUUUGUCCGGAAAGAAAUCCUUGGCUCUAAUACAGUCGGGGGAUGACGGUACCGGAAGAAUAAGCACCGGCUAACUACGUGCCAGCAGCCGCGGUAAUACGUAGGGUGCAAGCGUUAAUCGGAAUUACUGGGCGUAAAGCGUGCGCAGGCGGUUUGCUAAGACCGAUGUGAAAUCCCCGGGCUCAACCUGGGAACUGCAUUGGUGACUGGCAGGCUGGAGUAUGGCAGAGGGGGGUAGAAUUCCACGUGUAGCAGUGAAAUGCGUAGAGAUGUGGAGGAAUACCGAUGGCGAAGGCAGCCCCCUGGGCCAAUACUGACGCUCAUGCACGAAAGCGUGGGGGAGCAAACAGGAUUAGAUACCCUGGUAGUCCACGCCCUAAACGAUGUCAACUAGUUGUUGGGGAUUCAUUUCCUUAGUAACGUAGCUAACGCGUGAAGUUGACCGCCUGGGGAGUACGG